UGAGAUCUUGAUAAACUCGCCU
rnacentral:miRNA from 1 species